GAUGAACGCUGGCGGCGUGCCUUAUACAUGCAAGUCGAGUGGGUUUAGACCCACGGCAAACGGGUGAGUAACACGUAGGUACUUUCCUUGUCACAGGAAUAACCCUCCGAAAGGAGGGCUAAUACCUGAUGUGAUCGCAAGAUUAAAGGGUAUCCGCAAGGAUUACCGGACAAGAAGAGGCCUGCGGCCUAUCAGCUAGUUGGCGGGGUAAAUGCCCACCAAGGCUAUGACGGGUAGCUGGUCUUAUGAGGAUGAUCAGUCACAUGGGCACUGAGACACGGGCCCAACUCCUACGGGAGGCAGCAGUAGGGAAUUUUGCGCAAUGGGCGAAAGCCUGACGCAGCGGCGCCGCGUGCGGGAUGAAGGCCUUCGGGUCGUAAACCGCUUUUAUAAGGGACGAACUUUGACGGUACCUUAUGAAUAAGAGGUUGCUAACUCUGU
rnacentral:rRNA from 1 species